GACGAACGCUGGCGGCGUGCCUAAUACAUGCAAGUUGAGCGCUGAAGGUUGGUACUUGUACCAACUGGAUGAGCAGCGAACGGGUGAGUAACGCGUGGGGAAUCUGCCUUUGAGCGGGGGACAACAUUUGGAAACGAAUGCUAAUACCGCAUAAAAACUUUAAACACAAGUUUUAAGUUUGAAAGAUGCAAUUGCAUCACUCAAAGAUGAUCCCGCGUUGUAUUAGCUAGUUGGUGAGGUAAAGGCUCACCAAGGCGAUGAUACAUAGCCGACCUGAGAGGGUGAUCGGCCACAUUGGGACUGAGACACGGCCCAAACUCCUACGGGAGGCAGCAGUAGGGAAUCUUCGGCAAUGGACGAAAGUCUGACCGAGCAACGCCGCGUGAGUGAAGAAGGUUUUCGGAUCGUAAAACUCCGUUGGUAGAGAAGAACGUUGGUGAGAGUGGAAAGCUCAUCAAGUGACGGUAACUACCCAGAAAGGGACGGCUAACUACGUG
rnacentral:rRNA from 1 species